CUCCAGGCAAUUCCCUGUGUUAGUCUCAGGGUCUGCAAGAGUUGAGGGGCUCUUUCUUGGCUAGGAUGGCAGGAGUCCAUGAUUUGAAUGUGACAUAUGUGACAUUCUGGGGGUCUCUCACUCAUUCCCCACAUAGGGAAGACUUUCCAGGCUUUUAGACAAUCCUGGCUGACAGGCUCUUUCAUUUCCCUCUCUUUCUUUGCCUUAGGUGUUACUUGUUGCUGCUCUGUUGGAUUCCAAUGUUCUCUCUUAGAUGAUCUUGUCAAAGUGUGGUUAUCUACUGCUGUUUUUGUUCUUUGUGAAGGAGGAUCUAGAAGCAAUGACAUCCAGGUAGCCAUGAACAUAGCCAGUGCCUGGAUUUUACCAUUCCCCCUAAUAUGAGCUAAGCUUUUUGGAGAAUGACUGAGUCUAGACCUGGGACAGAGAAUGCACAGAAUCUUCACUACAACCAGGAUGCCAAGGCAAGGAGAGUUUAAACAACUUGCCUAAAG
rnacentral:lncRNA from 10 species